UCGUGGAAUGAUUUGUCUGGUUAAUUCCGUUAACGAACGAGACUUUAACUUGCUAGUUGGAAUACAUGCUAUUUCUGCAUGAAUUCCUCUAGAAGGACCAUGUGUAUCUAACACAAGGAAGCGUGAAGCAAUAACA
rnacentral:rRNA from 1 species